rnacentral:rRNA from 1 species
UAGGGAAUCUUCGGCAAUGGGGGGCAACCCUGACCGAGCAACGCCGCGUGAGUGAAGAAGGUUUUCGGAUCGUAAAGCUCUGUUGUAAGAGAAGAACGUGUGUGAGAGUGGAAAGUUCACACAGUGACGGUAACUUACCAGAAAGGGACGGCUAACUACGNGCCAG